GACAUGAAUCCAGGCCCUACGGGGCGCAGCAGGCGCGAAAACUUUACAAUGCGGGAAACCGUGAUAAGGGAACCCCGAGUGCCCGUAGAAUCGGGCUGUUGAUCUGUGUAAAAAGCAGGUAAAGAAAGGGCCGGGCAAGACCGGUGCCAGCCGCCGCGGUAAUACCGGCGGCUCGAGUGGUGGCCACUAUUACUGGGCUUAAAGCGUUCGUAGCUGGGUUGUUAAGUCUCUUGGGAAAUCCACCGGCUCAACCGAUGGGCGACCAGGGGAAACUGGCAUUCUAGGGACCGGGAGAGGUGAGAGGUACUCCAGGGGUAGGAGUGAAAUCCUGUAAUCCUUGGGGGACCACCGNUGGCGAAGGCAUCUCACCAGAACGGCUCCGACAGUGAGGAACGAAAGCUGGGGGAGCAAACCGGAUUAGAUACCCGGGUAGUCCCAGCUGUAAACUAUC
rnacentral:rRNA from 1 species